CCCUUAGAUGUUCUGGGCCGCACGCGCGCUACACUGAUGCAUUCAACGAGUUCCUACCUUGGCCGAGAGGCCUGGGCAAUCUUUUGAACUUGCAUCGUGAUAGGGAUAGAUUAUUGCAAUUAUUAAUCUUGAACGAGGAAUUCCUAGUAAACGCAGAUCAUCAAUCUGCAUUGAUUACGUCCCUGCCCUUUGUACACACCGCCCGUCGCACCCACCGAUUGAAUGGUCCGGUGAAGCCUCGGGAUUGUGGUUAGUUUCCUUCAUUGGAAGUUAGCCGCGAGAACUUGUCUAAACCUUAUCAUUUAGAGGAAGGUGAAGUCGUAACA
rnacentral:rRNA from 1 species